UACAGAGGGUGCAAGCGUUGUUCGGAAUUAUUGGGCGUAAAGGGCUCGUAGGCGGCCAACUAAGUCGGACGUGAAAUCCCUCGGCUUAACCGGGGAACUGCGUCCGAUACUGGAUGGCUUGAGUUUGGGAGAGGGAUGCGGAAUUCCAGGUGUAGCGGUGAAAUGCGUAGAUAUCUGGAGGAACACCGGUGGCGAAGGCGGCAUCCUGGACCAAUAUUGACGCUGAGGAGCGAAAGCCAGGGGAGCAAACGGG
rnacentral:rRNA from 1 species